GCGGACGUGGCGAAAUUGGCAUACGCACCGGCUUUAGGAGCCGGCGCCGCAAGGCAUGGGGGUUCGAGUCCCCCCGUCCGCAC
rnacentral:tRNA from 1 species